rnacentral:rRNA from 1 species
UUGGAGGGCAGUCUGGUGCCAGCAGCCGCGGUAAUUCCAGCUCCAAUAGCGUAUAUUAAAGUUGUUGCAGUUAAAAAGCUCGUAGUUGAACCUUGGGUCUGGCUGGCCGGUCCGCCUCACCGCGAGUACUGGUCCGGCUGGACCUUUCCUUCUGGGGAACCUCAUGGCCUUCACUGGCUGUGGGGGGAACCAGGACUUUUACUGUGAAAAAAUUAGAGUGUUCAAAGCAGGCCUUUGCUCGAAUACAUUAGCAUGGAAUAAUAGAAUAGGA